rnacentral:rRNA from 1 species
GACGAACGCUGGCGGCGUGCUUAACACAUGCAAGUCGAACGGAAAGGCCCUGCUUUUGUGGGGUGCUCGAGUGGCGAACGGGUGAGUAACACGUGAGUAACCUGCCCUUGACUUUGGGAUAACUUCAGGAAACUGGGGCUAAUACCGGAUAGGAGCUCCUGCUGCAUGGUGGGGGUUGGAAAGUUUCGGCGGUUGGGGAUGGACUCGCGGCUUAUCAGCUUGUUGGUGGGGUAGUGGCUUACCAAGGCUUUGAUGGGUAGCCGGCCUGAGAGGGUGACCGGCCACAUUGGGACUGAGAUACGGCCCAGUCUCCUACGUGAGACAGCAGUGGGGAAUAUUGCACAAUGAUCGGAAGCCUGAUGCAACAACGCCGCGUGCGGGAUGACGGCCUUCGGGUUGUAAACCGCUUUAGCCUGUUACGAAGCGUGAGUGACGGUAAUAAGUAAAUAAGCACCGGCUAACUACGUG